UGGGGAAUUUUGCGCAAUGGGCGAAAGCCUGACGCAGCAACGCCGCGUGGGUGAUGAAGGUCUUCGGAUCGUAAAACCCUGUCGCUUGGGACGAAGGUGGUCGGUUUAAUACGCCGGUUACUUGACGGUACCAGGAGAGGAAGCCCCGGCUAACUCUGUGCCAGCAGCCGCGGUAAUACAGAGGGGGCAAGCGUUAUUCGGAAUUAUUGGGCGUAAAGGGCACGUAGGCGGUGAUUUAAGUGGGAUGUGCAAUCCCCGGGCUUAACCUGGGAACUGCAUCCCAGACUGGAUCGCUGGAGUACUGGAGAGGGUGGUAGAAUUCCACGUGUAGCGGUGAAAUGCGUAGAGAUGUGGAGGAAUACCAGUGGCGAAGGCGGCCACCUGGACAGUUACUGACGCUGAUGUGCGAAAGCAUGGGUAGCAAACAGG
rnacentral:rRNA from 1 species